CUUAUGUAGUGGCUAUCGGGUCCCGCCUCCGCAGGCUGAUUGGCUGCGGCCGGCAAGCACUGAGCGGCGAUUGGGCAGUGUGGCUGCUCGUCAGCGGGUCCGGACCUGGCGCGGCCCGUGAGGGGGCCGCGACGAGAGGCCAUUGUGGCGAGGGAGGCCUUGGGAGGUGGAGGAGCGAAGCCGCUACCGCGGGACCCAAGCGCCGAGCCUCAGGAGCAGACGAUCUUGAAAACUGUGCCAGGUCCUUGGGGGAAAAAAACUACAUGACAGUGCAACAUGAGUGACAGUAAAUGUGAUAGUCAGUUUUACAGUGUUCAAGUCGCAGAUUCCACAUUCACUGUACUAAAACGGUACCAACAAUUGAAGCCCAUAGGAUCUGGGGCUCAGGGCAUUGUUUGUGCUGCAUUUGAUACGGUCCUUGGGAUAAAUGUUGCGGUAAAGAAGCUGAGUCGUCCUUUUCAGAACCAAACUCAUGCAAAAAGAGCUUACAGGGAGCUUGUUCUUUUAAAAUGUGUCAAUCACAAAAACAUAAUUAGUUUGUUAAAUGUAUUCACACCACAGAAGUCACUGGAAGAAUUUCAAGAUGUGUAUUUGGUUAUGGAACUGAUGGAUGCUAAUUUGUGCCAGGUUAUUCAUAUGGAGUUGGAUCAUGAAAGAAUGUCCUACCUUCUCUACCAGAUGUUGUGUGGUAUCAAACAUCUCCAUUCAGCUGGUAUCAUCCACAGAGAUUUGAAACCCAGCAAUAUAGUAGUAAAAUCAGAUUGUACACUCAAAAUCCUUGAUUUUGGACUGGCAAGAACAGCAUGUACUAAUUUUAUGAUGACUCCGUAUGUAGUAACACGGUAUUACAGAGCACCGGAAGUUAUCCUCGGCAUGGGAUACAAAGAGAAUGUUGAUAUCUGGUCAGUUGGGUGCAUCAUGGGAGAAUUGGUGAAAGGUUGUGUGAUAUUCCAAGGCACUGAUCAUAUUGAUCAAUGGAAUAAAGUUAUUGAACAGUUAGGAACACCAUCAGCAGAUUUUAUGAAGAAACUACAGCCUACUGUGAGGAAUUAUGUAGAAAACAGACCGAAAUAUCCGGGUAUCAAAUUUGAAGAGCUCUUCCCAGAUUGGAUAUUUCCAUCGGAGUCUGACCGUGACAAAUUAAAAACAAGUCAGGCUAGAGAUUUAUUAUCAAAAAUGUUGGUAGUAGACCCAGACAAACGAAUUUCUGUAGAUGAAGCCUUACGACAUCCAUAUAUCACGGUCUGGUAUGAUCCAGCUGAAGCAGAAGCACCUCCUCCUAAAAUCUAUGAUGCACAGCUGGAAGAAAGAGAACAUGCCAUUGAAGAAUGGAAAGAAUUAAUAUACAAAGAAGUAAUGGAUUGGGAAGAAAGAAGCAAGAAUGGUGUGGUAAAAGAUCAGCCCUCAGAUGCAGCAGUGAAUAGCAACACCAGUCCUUCCCAGUCAUCAUCGAUCAAUGACAUUUCAUCCAUGUCAACUGAGCAAACAUUGGCUUCAGAUACAGACAGCAGCCUUGAUGCCUUGACAGGACCCCUUGAAGGAUGCCGAUGAUCAGCCAGGAUUGCAGACUUAACAUUGGAAAAAAAACUCGUUUCCAUUGGCCUGAAUUGCUUGGUGCUGCUUGCAACUAUCUGGCUGAAGAGUUGGGAGAGCCAGAUCCUUAGACCACCUGAUAUUUGAUGGCAGGAUAUUUUUCAGGUUGCUGGUUCAGCUGCAGAAAGACAUCUUGUUGCAUGAACCAGAACAGAAUAGAAGACGAUAGAGCAGCCUGGCUGUGUUUGCAUGGGGGCAUUUUACAAAGUAUACUGAAAUACAUUCCUUGUCCUACAUCUUGCCUUUCUGUUACCCUCGAGGUCUUUGGAGACAGCGGUUCAGGUAUAGAAGAGCGUGGAGAGGUGAAAACAAGAUAGGAAGGAUUCUUGAGGAAAGUGGGACUUCAGGAGGUAAUGAGGCAUUUGUUACACAAAUGAUCCAACCAAAGGAGCUGCAUGUUGGAAGAUGCAAAACUGAGGGUGGGAGGAGAGGAAGAGUAAAUUGGUUGGAGUAGAGCUCAGUUCAAAAAUUCAGCCAGUUGUGCUAUUAUAUAAAGCCUUGAAAUGAGUGUGAAUUUACUUAAUUUGCAAUGGUAAAAGACUAGAAACCAUGGAUAGUAUUUAAGAAGGAUAUUGGGUGAUGUGGUUAGAGAGAUUAGAGAGUAUGUGGAGUGGACUGGAUAGCAUACACCUUACUCAUAAGUAAGGGUCUGUAAAACCUUGCUUCAGUGAUUUUACAGUUUUGAGCACUGAGUGAAACAGCCUGCUUCACUCGGUGUACAUAUGAGUGGAUCAUAUAGCAUGAGGCAGUGUUACAAUCAGAUGUUCUGCAUUGGCACCUCAUUCCUGAUCUCAAACUUGUUCUUUCCUUUUCAUAGAACUAAGGUUUAUUUACAGGACUGAGGCUUCGUGUACUGGCCCAGGUUCAAAGACUGCCCAGACGAUAGCUGUCUCCAAUGAAAAACGUUCCACAACCUUUCUUUUAUUAAGAAUAUUUUUACUGGCACAGUCUCUCCCUUAUGCCUUAUGAAGCGUGAUGAUAACACAGACUUCCUUAUUCAGUGCACAUAUUAUCAAAUCAUAUAACAUGAGGCAGCACUUCUAUGGAGUGCUGACUCAGUCCAUCUGCGCCUUCACAAAUCAUCCUGCUUGUGCACCUAUACAUUAAAAUAAAAUGUGAUCCAAUGUACACAUACACAAAGUAAGGCUCCGGGAUUUGUUUGUUUUUUGCUCUUAUGACAUGGUCAAGUCAAACCUGAUUUUUUUCCACUGUACCACCAAAUAUACACACAUGAGGCUAAUGUCCCUGUCAAGUCUCAAGCUUCUACUGCCUCCAGCU